GCGGGUAUGGUUUAGUGGCAGAAUGCGACCUUCCCAAGGUUGAGACGCGAGUUCAAUUCUCGCUACCCGCA
rnacentral:tRNA from 1 species